rnacentral:tRNA from 1 species
UGCUCUGUGGUUUAGUUGGUUAAAGUUCUGGUCUAGUGAACACGAAGUCGUGGGUUAGAAUCCCACCAAAACGC